rnacentral:misc_RNA from 1 species
UCAAAACAGCGGCCUUCGGGCCUUGCUGCACCCUUGUCUUUUGCGCACCGUAUUGUUUCCUCGGCGGGCUUGCCUGCCGGUUGGACAUUAUCAAACCUUUUUGUAGUUGCAAUCAGUGUCAGAAAAACAAUAAUUAUUG